AUGCUGGAGGUAUCAGAAGUGCGAAUGCUGACAUAAGUAACGAUAAAGCGGGUGAAAAGCCCGCUCGCCGGAAGACCAAGGGUUCCUGUCCAACGUUAAUCGGGGCAGGGUGAGUCGACCCCUAAGGCGAGGCCGAAAGGCGUAGUCGAUGGGAAACAGGUUAAUAUUCCUGUACUUGGUGUUACUGCGAAGGGGGGACGGAGAAGGCUAUGUUGGCCGGGCGACGGUUGUCCCGGUUUAAGCGUGUAGGCUGGUUUUCCAGGCAAAUCCGGAAAAUCAAGGCUGAGGCGUGAUGACGAGGCACUACGGUGCUGAAGCAACAAAUGCCCUGCUUCCAGGAAAAGCCUCUAAGCAUCAGGUAACAUCAAAUCGUACCCCAAACCGACACAGGUGGUCAGGUAGAGAAUACCAAGGCGCUUGAGAGAACUCGGGUGAAGGAACUAGGCAAAAUGGUGCCGUAACUUCGGGAGAAGGCACGCUGAUAUGUAGGUGAAGCGACUUGCUCGUGGAGCUGAAAUCAGUCGAAGAUACCAGCUGGCUGCAACUGUUUAUUAAAAACACAGCACUGUGCAAACACGAAAGUGGACGUAUACGGUGUGACGCCUGCCCGGUGCCGGAAGGUUAAUUGAUGGGGUUAGCGCAAGCGAAGCUCUUGAUCGAAGCCCCGGUAAACGGCGGCCGUAACUAUAACGGUCCUAAGGUAGCGAAAUUCCUUGUCGGGUAAGUUCCGACCUGCACGAAUGGCGUAAUGAUGGCCAGGCUGUCUCCACCCGAGACUCAGUGAAAUUGAACUCGCUGUGAAGAUGCAGUGUACCCGCGGCAAGACGGAAAGACCCCGUGAACCUUUACUAUAGCUUGACACUGAACAUUGAGCCUUGAUGUGUAGGAUAGGUGGGAGGCUUUGAAGUGUGGACGCCAGUCUGCAUGGAGCCGACCUUGAAAUACCACCCUUUAAUGUUUGAUGUUCUAACGUUGACCCGUAAUCCGGGUUGCGGACAGUGUCUGGUGGGUAGUUUGACUGGGGCGGUCUCCUCCUAAAGAGUAACGGAGGAGCACGAAGGUUGGCUAAUCCUGGUCGGACAUCAGGAGGUUAGUGCAAUGGCAUAAGCCAGCUUGACUGCGAGCGUGACGGCGCGAGCAGGUGCGAAAGCAGGUCAUAGUGAUCCGGUGGUUCUGAAUGGAAGGGCCAUCGCUCAACGGAUAAAAGGUACUCCGGGGAUAACAGGCUGAUACCGCCCAAGAGUUCAUAUCGACGGCGGUGUUUGGCACCUCGAUGUCGGCUCAUCACAUCCUGGGGCUGAAGUAGGUCCCAAGGGUAUGGCUGUUCGCCAUUUAAAGUGGUACGCGAGCUGGGUUUAGAACGUCGUGAGACAGUUCGGUCCCUAUCUGCCGUGGGCGCUGGAGAACUGAGGGGGGCUGCUCCUAGUACGAGAGGACCGGAGUGGACGCAUCACUGGUGUUCGGGUUGUCAUGCCAAUGGCACUGCCCGGUAGCUAAAUGCGGAAGAGAUAAGUGCUGAAAGCAUCUAAGCACGAAACUUGCCCCGAGAUGAGUUCU
rnacentral:rRNA from 1 species